AAUAAGAGAAUGACAAAUCAGAUUUUUUUCUCCUGAUUUUCAGCUUUUUUCUCUUGAAAAAAUUCAAAUCAAACUAAAAACACUAAAAAUCAGGAAGAAAAAUUUGAUUUAUUAUUCUCCCAUU
rfam:Gossypium raimondii Chr12_contig_105, whole genome shotgun sequence.